GACGAACGCUGGCGGCGUGCUUAACACAUGCAAGUCGAACGGUGAAGCGCCUUCCUUUUUGGUGGGUGUGGAUGAGUGGCGAACGGGUGAGUAACACGUGAGUAACCUGCCCCCUUCUUCUGGAUAACCGCAUGAAAGUGUGGCUAAUACGGGAUAUUCUGGGUCUGUCGCAUGAUGGGUCUGGGAAAGAUAUUGUUUCGGUGGGGGAUGGGCUCGCGGCCUAUCAGCUUGUUGGUGGGGUGAUGGCCUACCAAGGCGGUGACGGGUAGCCGGCCUGAGAGGGUGGACGGUCACACUGGGACGGAGACACGGCCCAGACUCCUACGAGAGGCAGCAGUGGGGAAUAGUGCACAAUGGGCGCAAGCCUGAUGCAGCGACGCCGCGUGAGGGAUGGAGGCCUUCGGGUUGUGAACCUCUUUCGCCAGUGAAGCAGGCCUGCCUCGUUUGUGGGUGGGUUGACGGUAGCUGGAUAAGAAGCGCCGGCUAACUACGUG
rnacentral:rRNA from 1 species